rnacentral:tRNA from 1 species
UGCCCUUUGGUCUAGGGGUAUGAUUUUCACUUAAGGUGUGAGAGGUCCUGGGUUCAAAUCCCAGACGAGCCC